AGAGCCCCCCCCACCCCCACCCCGGCCUAAAGCAAAUGCUCAGGGAACUAGUGACAGGUGUGAACAUUCUAGUAGUAGUUUGAUGAUCAUGCAGGAACUGUAAACAGGG
rnacentral:snoRNA from 1 species